GAUGAACGCUGGCGGCGUGCCUAAUACAUGCAAGUCGAGCGAACAGACGAGGAGCUUGCUCCUCUGACGUUAGCGGCGGACGGGUGAGUAACACGUGGAUAACCUACCUAUAAGACUGGGAUAACUUCGGGAAACCGGAGCUAAUACCGGAUAAUAUAUUGAACCGCAUGGUUCAAUAGUGAAAGACGGUUUUGCUGUCACUUAUAGAUGGAUCCGCGCCGCAUUAGCUAGUUGGUAAGGUAACGGCUUACCAAGGCAACGAUGCGUAGCCGACCUGAGAGGGUGAUCGGCCACACUGGAACUGAGACACGGUCCAGACUCCUACGGGGGGCAGCAGUAGGGAAUCUUCCGCAAUGGGCGAAAGCCUGACGGAGCAACGCCGCGUGAGUGAUGAAGGUCUUCGGAUCGUAAAACUCUGUUAUUAGGGAAGAACAAAUGUGUAAGUAACUGUGCACGUCUUGACGGUACCUAAUCAGAAAGCCACGGCUAACUACGUG
rnacentral:rRNA from 1 species